rnacentral:rRNA from 1 species
AUGAACGCUAGCUACAGGCUUAACACAUGCAAGUCGAGGGGCAGCAUGGUCUUAGCUUGCUAAGGCCGAUGGCGACCGGCGCACGGGUGAGUAACACGUAUCCAACCUGCCGUCUACUCUUGGACAGCCUUCUGAAAGGAAGAUUAAUACAAGAUGGCAUCAUGAGUCCGCAUGUUCACAUGAUUAAAGGUAUUCCGGUAGACGAUGGGGAUGCGUUCCAUUAGAUAGUAGGCGGGGUAACGGCCCACCUAGUCUUCGAUGGAUAGGGGUUCUGAGAGGAAGGUCCCCCACAUUGGAACUGAGACACGGUCCAAACUCCUACGGGAGGCAGCAGUGAGGAAUAUUGGUCAAUGGGCGAGAGCCUGAACCAGCCAAGUAGCGUGAAGGAUGACUGCCCUAUGGGUUGUAAACUUCUUUUAUAAAGGAAUAAAGUCGGGUAUGGAUACCCGUUUGCAUGUACUUUAUGAAUAAGGAUCGGCUAACUCCGUGCCAGCAGCCGCGGUAAUACGGAGGAUCCGAGCGUUAUCCGGAUUUAUUGGGUUUAAAGGGAGCGUAGAUGGAUGUUUAAGUCAGUUGUGAAAGUUUGCGGCUCAACCGUAAAAUUGCAGUUGAUACUGGAUAUCUUGAGUGCAGUUGAGGCAGGCGGAAUUCGUGGUGUAGCGGUGAAAUGCUUAGAUAUCACGAAGAACUCCGAUUGCGAAGGCAGCCUGCUAAGCUGCAACUGACAUUGAGGCUCGAAAGUGUGGGUAUCAAACAGGAUUAGAUACCCUGGUAGUCCACACGGUAAACGAUGAAUACUCGCUGUUUGCGAUAUACAGUAAGCGGCCAAGCGAAAGCAUUAAGUAUUCCACCUGGGGAGUACGCCGGCAACGGUGAAACUCAAAGGAAUUGACGGGGGCCCGCACAAGCGGAGGAACAUGUGGUUUAAUUCGAUGAUACGCGAGGAACCUUACCCGGGCUUAAAUUGCAGAUGAAUUACGGUGAAAGCCGUAAGCCGCAAGGCAUCUGUGAAGGUGCUGCAUGGUUGUCGUCAGCUCGUGCCGUGAGGUGUCGGCUUAAGUGCCAUAACGAGCGCAACCCUUGUUGUCAGUUACUAACAGGUUCCGCUGAGGACUCUGACAAGACUGCCAUCGUAAGAUGUGAGGAAGGUGGGGAUGACGUCAAAUCAGCACGGCCCUUACGUCCGGGGCUACACACGUGUUACAAUGGGGGGUACAGAGGGCCGCUACCACGCGAGUGGAUGCCAAUCCCCAAAACCUCUCUCAGUUCGGACUGGAGUCUGCAACCCGACUCCACGAAGCUGGAUUCGCUAGUAAUCGCGCAUCAGCCACGGCGCGGUGAAUACGUUCCCGGGCCUUGUACACACCGCCCGUCAAGCCAUGGGAGCCGGGGGUACCUGAAGUGCGUAACCGCGAGGAGCGCCCUAGGGUAAAACUGGUGACUGGGGCU